UCCUCGAUAGCUCAGUCGGUAGAGCGUCUGACUGUUAAUCAGAAUGUCACUGGUUCGAGUCCAGUUCGAGGAGCCA
rnacentral:tRNA from 15 species